GGGUGGGUGAACUGUUGAGCACACAGCUGCUAGUGACCACACAAAUCUGCCAUGUGCUAAAACACACAGUACUGUGUGCCAACUACAUGCUUGUAGUCCCAGCUGCGUUCCGGAGGCAGAAGCAGGAGAUAAAGAGUUGGAGGUCAUUUUGAGGUGCUGCUCUGGAUAGUGCUGGAAGCCUCAGGAGGUAUCGGCCAUCAGGGGUGCCCAAUGGAAGGCACACUGCCACAAGACUGAGGUGGGAGAGAAGAGGACAUGGAGAAAGAAGGGAGUUUCACCUGAGAUCUGGUUUCUCUAUGUCUGAUGGAGUCAAGAACUUAAGCACAGAUGACAAAAUGCAGGCAGCUGUGAAGAUCGCCUGGAUCAUAAG